AUGACAAAACGACAAGCUGUUGAGGCGCUGGAUAGAUCCCUGCAAGAUAUUACAGGUAAUAGAUCACAGUUUGGAGGAAAAGUAAUUGUGUUCGGAGGAGAUUUCUGUCAAGUCCUUCCAGUAGUUAGACGUGGCACUAGAGCCCAAAUUGUUAAUGCCACUCUUAAAAAAUCUUAUCUAUGGAAGGAUAUAAGACAAAUUAAACUCUGGCGCAAUAUGAGAGCACAAAAAGAUCCAUGGUUCUCUGAUUUUCUCUUGAGAAUUGGCAACGGUGUUGAAGAAUCAAUUGGUGAAGACUAUGUGCAUUUACCUGAAGAGAUGGUUAUAGGUUCCACAAAUUUAGGUGCCUCGGUUAGUAAGUUGAUAAACGAAGUAUUUCCUUCACUUGACAAGAAUGGAAGAUUGCCGUCUUAUAUAAGUGCUCGUGCCAUUCUUUCCACAAAAAAUGAAUACGUGGAUGAAUUAAAUGUGAAGCUUAUAGACCUAUUUCCUGGAGAAGAGAAGGUCUACUAUAGUUUCGAUUCAGCAGUGGAUGAUACUCACAAUCACUACCCACCCGAAUUUCUAAAUUCUCUCACACCUAAUGGCCUACCUCCACAUGUUCUCAGGUUGAAAAUAAAUUGCCCUGUGAUCUUGCUUCGGAAUUUAGAUCCUCAUAAUGGAUUAUGCAAUGGCACAAGGCUUAUUAUUAAAGCAUUUCAAGAUAAUGUUAUUGACGCUGAAAUUAUCGGAGGACAUCAUGCUGGAAAGCGAGUAUUCCUUCCAAGAAUUCCUUUGUACCCUUCUGAAGAUGAUGUGCUUCCCUUGAAGUUCAAGAGAAAGCAAUUUCCAAUUCGUCUUAGCUUUGCAAUGACAAUCAAUAAAGCUCAAGGCCAAACCAUUCCACAUGUUGGUAUCUACCUUCCAGAACCUGUUUUCUCUCACGGUCAACUAUAUGUUGCAUUGUCUCGAGGAAUAUCAAGGCAAACAACAAGAAUACUUGCCAAGCCAAAUAAGGAUAUUGACCCAUCGGGAAAAAGUACCAAAAAUAUUGUCUAUAAGGAGUCUUUUUAUAUAAGUAUAAGCAUAUAUUAG
rnacentral:rRNA from 1 species